GUACACGCUGUGACUAGCAUAUCAAUAAGCGGAGGAAAAGAAACUAACAAGGAUUCCCCUAGUAACGGCGAGUGAAGCGGGAAGAGCUCAAAUUUGAAAUCUUAAAGGGUUUCCCUUUACGAAUUGUAGUUUAAAGAAGUGUUUUCUGUUGAGGUUUUGGUAAAAGUUCUUUGGAAUAGGACAUCAUAGAGGGUGAGAAUCCCGUAUUUGACCUUUACUUUCAACUUUGUGAUACACUUUCAAAGAGUCGGAUUGUUUGGGAAUGCAGUCCAAAAUGGGUGGUAAAUUUCAUCUAAAGCUAAAUAUUGGCGAGAGGACCGAUAGCGAACAAGUACCGUGAGGGAAAGAUGAAAAGAACUUUGAAAAGAGAGUUAAACAGUACGUGAAAUUGUCAAAAGGGAAGCGUUUGACACCAGUGUUGUUUUUCUGAAAAUCAAUUAAAGAACUGUUUAUGCUAAGCUGUUUAGACUUUAUCAGCUAUCUGUUUAGUUUUGAGCCUUUUCUUUAAUGCACUUUUCAGUUAACAAGUCAACAUCAAUUUCUUUUGCUGUAAAAAAGCUUGAGGAAGGUGGCUUGAGAUUCGUCUUAAGUGUUUAUAGCCUCUUGCCUAUGCAGUCGGAGAGAUUGAGGUCUGCAGCGUAGAUCCUUCGGGGCUAAAUGCAUUUGUGCUAAGUUAUAGCAUUUUAUAGACAACUUGUUGACUAUGAUUUGUCUUGUAGCUUACUCGCUUAUGUUAUUUUACCUACGCUUAGGAUGUUGAAGUCAUCGUAUCGCGC
rnacentral:rRNA from 1 species